AACGCAUCUUGCGCCCGGUGGUAUUCCGCCGGGCAUGCCUGUCUGAGUGUCAUUACUAUCUCAACCCGAGCAAUGUCGUCAUGACAUUGCUCAGCGGAUUGGAACAUGGACUUGGUGGGGUUCGCCCUGCCGGUCUUAAAUGGAGUAGGCUAGCCGACUAUCAGCGGUUUGACCGGGUGUUGUAGAGUCGCCUCACUCGGGACGCUGAUCGGACUAGUUGAAUUGUAAUUGUAUUACUCGAGCGAUUUGGACCUCAGAUCAGGUAGGAUUACCCGCUGAACUUAA
rnacentral:misc_RNA from 1 species